UUCUAUGGAUGAGUAAAGAAAGUGGUUUCUUGAGAUGGAACCUACUCUUGAUGAAGAUUCUGUGAU
rnacentral:pre_miRNA from 1 species